GGGGUCGUAGUUCAGUUGGCUAGAACGCCGGCCUGUCACGCCGGAGGUCGCGGGUUCGAGUCCCGUCGGCCCCGCCA
rnacentral:tRNA from 3 species